AGGAAAGCAUGUUACACAUUCCAGAGUAACUCCCAAACAGAAUAGUCUGCUGCUAAGCCUGAAGUCCUGAGGUCCAGGGGCCUGUGUACGGGAAGGAGAGAAACACUCCUGUAAGUUAUCCUCUAGCCUCCACAUGUGUGCCAUAACUAAAGGAAGAAAGGCACACUUGUGACGGGACCUUGAGGACUAUCUUCUGGGUUACCACAAAAGCUCUGGGAACACAGCUCCCUUCCAAUCCUGUCACAGCCUAUUUUAUUUGCAGAGCUGUCCCUUUUUGUCACUUCCCGGCAAGGCAGAUAUUCAAUAAAAGUUACUGAAUGAAAGCAUGACUCAUUAGAAACUGGAGACGGAUAAAGAGAAAAUGAACCUAAAGAGGCAGGACUCUUGGGAGGCUGCGCUGGUCAAGUAUUUAUUAACUCAGCAUAAGUAUGAGCCUAUUUGUAGAAAAUGACCUGGAAUGCCCAGAAGGAAGAAGGCAAAGAAGUGAAGGCAACGGAAGUUAGAUUAUUCCGGCAGUUCAGCUCCCUGAGAGAAGAGUGGUACCUCAUUCAGGCACCGGCGAGAUCAAGCAAAGGAUGAGGAUGACAGUGUGCUCACACUGAAUUCAGAGGAUCCUAGAGGCUGGCCCUCCCUAAAGCCAAUGCAGGGAGAAGCUGUUCUGAGUGCGCUGAAGUGUGAACCUCUGUGAUGGAAAAACCAAAGUCGUCGUUUAAAGAGUGGGCUUAGUGAAUCUAAACACGGAGCACUAAGAUAGCUAACACUCCUCAUUCCCUUGCUUCCGAAUGUUAGCUGCUAGGCUUUUACCCAUCAAGAUAGAGGAUCCGACCAUUCUAAGAGCAAAGAUAUAAUGACACUGAUAUUAAACAAAAUGAGGUUUUCUCAACAAAGAGUUGGAAGAAAAACUGGAUGUAGCUAUGGAGCCGAUCUGGGUGCACUACAUCCUGUGAGCUGGGAUGGCAGGUGAGUCCCUGUGAAAGGAACCGGACUGUGAAGUCGCUGGGAGAGGCUUUACAAAACGGAAAGUGGGGAAAGACGCUGAACCCAACAGCCUGAGCUGGCCCCCACCCCCAUCUCGGGGCAUGCAGAGAAGGACCCAAAGGAAAAGAGGCAUGAUUGUCAACUGUCAACCUGUAACACCGAAGUCUACUUUCUCCAGUGCUUUAGAGAUGAUUAUCAUCGGCAGUGAUGGGAUGGACCCUGACAAGGACAGCCUCCUCCUGGGCCAGGAGCACUUCUGCUGACGUGGAGACAUCCACAUUGAGUGGUAUUCACAGAAGAAAUUAGCCGAAGGAUACCAGGUGUGGUAGCGCACAUGCAUUAUGUCAGCCCUGGGGAGGCUGAGGCAGGAGAAUUAUCACAAGUCUGAGACCAGCCUGAGCUACACAGUAAGUCAUAUCUCAAAAAACCGAGAGCUGGGGCUCAGUUAUAAGAGUGCUUGCACAGACAAGGAUUGAGCCCAUAAACCGGAUAGAUGGUGGCACCAUCUGUCACCCUAAGACACAGGAGUCAGAGGAAGGAGGAUCAGGAGUUCAAAGUUGGCCUUGAAUAUGAGGCCAGAGUGGGCCACAGGGGACCAUGAGCCAAAAAGAAAAAAAAAAAGCCAGGCAGUGGUGGUGCACACCUUUAAUCCCAGCACUUGGGAGGCAGAGGCGGGCGGAUCUCUGUGAGUUCGAGGCCAGCCAAGGCUAUAGAGGAAAACAAAAUAAAAGAGCAUCAAACAGAGCUGUUUCUGCCUCCUUAAGUGCCGGCAAAGGCAGGCUGGCCUCCAGUGAGUGACAGCAGCAUUUGGUGCCUCCUGAUAGAGUCAUUGCCUGUGUUUGUUAUUAAACUUCUUAACUUUAUUUUUUUAAAAAAGAUUUAUUUAUGUAUUAUGUAUACAACAUUCUGCCUCCCUGCAUGCCUGCAGGCCAGAAGAGGGCACCAGAUCUCAUUACAGAUGGUUGUGAGCCACCAUGUGGUUGCUGGGAAUUGAACUCAGGACCUCUGGAAGAGCAGCCAGUGCUCUUAACCACUGAGCCAUCUCUCCAGCCCCCAUAAUUUUAUCUAAAUGGCAAAAGAUGAAAAACUGAAGGAAAUUACCUCAGAAAUAUGAAAACCAGGGAGAAAAUUUUAGAAAAAAAGUUUCAUAAAUCCACUAUCUAAAUAAUGGAAACUGCUGUAGAAUAACCACCAACAAAAUUUCCCACAUCUGGGGGCUCAGUGGUUAAGAGCACUGGUUGCUCUUCCAGAGGACUUGGGUUCAAUUCCCAGCACCCACAUGGCAACUCAAAACUGUAUGUACCUCCAACACCAAGGUACCCAACACUCUCACAUAGAUACACAUAUAGGCAAAACACUAACGCACAUAAAAUUAAAAUAGAUAAAACAUUUAAAAUUUUUUCCCACUGGGCAAUGGUGGCACACACCUUUAAUCCCAGCAACUGGGAAGCAGAAGCAAGCAGAGCUCUGGUGUGGGAAGUCCCUCUAUAUAUGUAUUGCUUUUAUUGGCUAAUAAAGGAGCUGCUUUUGGCCAAUGACUUAGCAGAAUAUAGCCAGGCUGGAAGAGAGAUAUAUAUAGAGAGAGUAGGCAGAGUCAGGGAGAAGCCAUGUAGCCACCACAGGAAACAGGCGUCUCCACAGGAGCCCGCUGGAACCUUGCUGGUCGGCCAAGACCUUGUGGAGAUGCACAGAGAAUGGAGAUGGGUUAGUUUAGAUAUAAGAACUAGCUAGAAAUACACUUAAGCUAUUGGCUGGAUCAGGAGCAUGGUGCAUUACAGCUACCAUACACAGGGAUAUUUCCAAGCCGCGCAGUGUGGUAGAUUCAGCUUUUACUCAGAUAAAAGGGUUUAUGUGCUGCAUUCAGUCCCAGACCAGACGGUGAACUACCUCCACCAUAUUGAAAGCCUGAGAGAGGUGGAGCCAGCAUCCAGGGCCGCUGUGACCAAGCUGCUUACCAUUUUAAAAGUGCUCCUGGUCAGAAAAUUAUUGCAGACUGCUAUAAAGACAAAUUCAGAUCAAAAAGACCUCUUUUGGAUAUGUUGGAUAAAUGUACAUAGGCGAGAGAGAGAGAGAGAGAGAGAGAGAGAGAGAGAGAGAGAGAGAGAGGUAUAGACACUUAUAAAAGAGUACAGACAGUCAUAGAUUAAAGGAAUAAAGAUAAUAAAAUAAAUAUUAAACUUGUAAAAAAAGUAAUAGAUCCUUUCAAUUUAUUAAAAAAAAGUAAUAGAGUAAGGCAAAUAAGCCACAUAAAGAUGGAAAACAUACAGAGCCUGGAUUAUGUAUAUUAUUGUUUUCUUUGAAAUUUUUGACUGUGAAUGAGUUAAGUACAGAGAGACAUUUCAUUGUAUGGGCUGCUAAAAGCUAAACCAAGAUAUAUGUUAAAGGUAUCUUGACUUCAAAAUUUGGGUCUAAGGAUUUGUUGCUUUGGAAAAGGGGUUCUUCUUUUGUUUCCACAGAGGAUGAGAACCUGUGGAUUCCUUCCAGACUAAUGUGAUUUGAUGGACCAAGAGCCCCUGAAAGGUUGCCAUGAAUACCCCCCAAAAUUACUUCACCCAAGAAAAGCAGAAAGUUCUCUCCAAACUUUCUCCAAACUUGGAGAGAACUACACCCAAAUUCCAAAAUAUUGUUUAUAAAUGUUUGUUUACAUUUAAAUGGGGAUAUGCUAUAGAGAUUUGUAUUGGUAUGAAUCUUGGUUUAUUGAUACAAAUUUAAAAUUAAUUUUGUUUUAUAUAUAUAUACACACACACACUGCUUUUGAUUAAGGUAUUGUGUUUGUGAAGCUCAUUUUAAAAUGUAAUGUAUAAUUAAUAAACAUAGGUUAAUAGAGAGUCAUCUAUAAUAGUCAAGCUUGUAGUCAUGUUAGCUAGGUUUUCUAGAUGUACAGAGAUGUAUUUCAGAUGGAUAGAUAUUCUUCAGAUCUUUCAAAGACUACAUAACAUGGCAUUUAAAAUGUUUUAAGAACUUAGGACUUUUCAUGACACUGAGACACAUCUGCUUCUGGCAGCACCAAUCUACUUCAAAAGAAUGAAGGGCAUCAAAGAGGCUCCUCAUAGAGUUUGUUAGCCAUUUGGGCAAGAAAUUGCUCUUGCCUGAACUACUUAACUGAACUUAUAGGAUCCACAGAAAAAUGACUGCUGAAGUUGCCUAAAGAAGGUGAGAGAGUUCUUUGGGGUUCCUGCUUCAUGAAAGAGUCUGCCAGACAUUCUGCAGGACACAGAAUAAAGUGACUGACAAACUGUCAAUAUAGGUGGAACAGUCUUUGAAAUUACCUGAUUCAAGGAAAAGUCUGCCAGAUACAAUAGGUCAGUAGGCUGAAGAUGGAUGCCCCAACAGUACAGAAGAACUUUGGGUGACUGUCCAGGCAGCGAGAUGUCUCUGUCAAUUCUAGAAUUUUGGAAGUUGUUUACAAUGCACUUCCUGUUUAUUUAAGUAAUAUUAUCUCCUUCUGGAGUCUUUGAUGGAGUUGAAGAAUAGUUAUUAUUAAAGUUUUCCUUAGUUAUGACAAAAGAAAAAGUAGAUAUAAAUAUUGUAGCUGUAAUUCUUGCUUGAUACAGGUUUUGUUACAUGUAAUUUUACUGUGUUAAAGUUAAAACCUUCCUUUUUAUUUAAACAGAAAAGGGGAAAUGGUGUGGGAAGUCCUUCUGUAUAUGUGUUGCUUUUAUUGGUUAAUAAAGAAGCUGCUUUUAGCAGA